rnacentral:rRNA from 1 species
GGUCUUGACAUCCGAUGCUAUUUCUAGAGAUAGAAAGUUACUUCGGUUACAUCGGUGACAGGUGGUGGCAUGGUUGUCGUCAGCUCGUGUCGUGAGAUGUUGGGUUAAGUCCCGCAACGAGCGCAACCCCUAUUGUUAGUUGCCAUCAUUCAGUUGGGCACUCUAGCGAGACUGCCGGUAAUAAACCGGAGGAAGGUGGGGAUGACGUCAAAUCAUCACGCCCCUUAUGACCUGGGCUACACACGUGCUACAAUGGUUGGUACAACGAGUUGCGAGUCGGUGACGGCGAGCUAAUCUCUUAAAGCCAAUCUCAGUUCGGAUUGUAGGCUGCAACUCGCCUACAUGAAGUCGGAAUCGCUAGUAAUCGCGGAUCAGCACGCCGCGGUGAAUACGUUCCCGGGCCUU